GUUCCGCUGGCGCAAUGGUAGCGCGCCAGACUUCUAAAAACUCCAUCGCAGUUCAUCUGGAGGCUGUGGGUUCGAGUCCCACGCGGAAUG
rnacentral:tRNA from 1 species